GACGAACGCUGGCGGCAGGCCUAAUACAUGCAAGUCGAACGGAGAGGCGGACGGGGGGGUAAGGACUAGGAAGCAGCCUGGUAGUGGCGGAUAACGUACGGAAGGGGGAGCUAAUACCGCAUACUAUCGGAUGAGACACGGUCGGAUUAGCUAGUUGGUGGGGUAAAGGCCGACCAGGGCGACGAUCCGUAACUGGUCUGAGAGGAUGAUCAGUCACACUGGAACUGAGACACGGGCCAGACUCCUACGGGAGGCAGCAGUGGGGAAUAUUGGACAAUGGGCGAAAGCCUGAUCCAGCCAUGCCGCGUGUGUGAAGAAGGUCUUCGGAUUGUAAAGCACUUUAAGUGGGGAGGCGUUACCAACAGAAUAAGCACCGGCUAACUUCGUGCCAGCAGCCGCGGUAAUUC
rnacentral:rRNA from 1 species